UCUCCCGGCUCUACCCAACAACACAAACAAGCAACAAGGAUACAAUCAACCACGUGCAAGGGCAACCAAUAAGAUGCAAAGAUGAUAUGCUAUGCGGGAUGCGAUGCGGGAUGCAAAAUGCAAGACGUGACAGGAAAUGCAUGAACCUGGCCUCAACUUGGAAAACCAAGUGUGCCACUGGAUAGAGGGGAAGAAAUCCCCUGAAAACUAUAUAAAGAUCAUGGCAAUCGGAGCUACAGUUUGGAAAUGGCAAGCGUUUUACUAAACGAACCGAUCUACGAUUUACAGCAAGUAGGCUCCUAAAUGCAACAAAAUGAACAUGCUACAGCCAGCAAACAUGUAAACAAAUUGCAUGGCAGUGAUGUACUCAAGAAGCUUAACAAAUCACCGGGACUCAGGCAUAGGCAAAUUCAUCCAUUAAGGGCUUCAAACAAGCAUGGCAAAACUGAAUAAGCAAAACAGAUUUCAGACUUAGCGAAAGUAACGCUAGUCUGAAAUUUCAGACCACGAUGCUCUCUUCGGAGCAGCAAAACAACAUGAAGCAAAACCUGAACAUGGCAAGUAAGAGCAUGGCAUGGAGCUACUCAACAAGCUUAACAUAACACCCAAAAUGACCUGGGGCCAAAAGGGUUCACAAAAUACUCUACCGAGCACACGAACAUCGAUGAAACACAAUCAGUUUUCAGACUUAGUGAAAACUGGGACGUGCUGAAAUUAUAACUCACGGAGGCAUGUAAACGAGCUCGAUGCUCUCACUACGGUGCAAGUCAUGGCAAGGCAAGCAUAUAUCCAUUAAGAAGGAACAAAAUUCUAGCUAGACAUGGCAAGAACAAUGGCAUAGCAUGCAUGGAUCACUAGCAAUAGCCCCAGCAAAAUCGCAAAAGAGUUCACGAUCUGCCCAAAACAACAACUAUGCAAAAGUUGAGCUCGAUUGAGUCAACCUAGGUUGCUCCAACAUAACAAGUAAAGACAUGGAUAUAUUAAGCACAACAAGCAUAACAAAUCACUCUUACUGAUCAUCCUAAAAAUAGGCACGGAUCACUAGGAAACAAGCUGGACAUAUAGCAUCGUGAACUAAAACAUCCCAGACUUAGUGAUUUUCACUAAGUCCCUGAAAUCAGUAAACUCAGGUACCCCUCUUUGCAAGCUUGCACAAGACAACACACACAUCCUAAAAAUGCAAGGGAGGCACCUCUGGAAAGAAGACAACAUGCUUAACAAUUCAUCCUAAAGGGGCACAGGCAUAUCAUGCACACAAUAAUCAUGGCAAAAAUAACAAAAGUCAAUGUAAGGCUAAUGGAUCUGCAAUUUAACUCAUGAUGCCUCCUUCCAACAGCAUUUUGGGCACCAAGAUAACCUCAAAUGCAAAUGAUGCAAUGGGAUGAAAUGAUGUACUCGUCGAGACGAAGAUUUUGAUAUAUCAUAUGCUCAGAUCGGAGCUACGGAUGCAAAGUUAUGGCAGGUCAAACGUAGCAUAAAAAUCUGGAAAAUUAGGUCAAAAGUCAACCGAGAAUUUGGAUCUGAGAUCCAGAUCGGGCACUGUAGCUCCUCGUGCGGCACUGUUCACCGAGGCGAUCCGGCGACGGCGCGGCUGGCUCCGGCUCCGGCGAGGUGGCCGCCGGCGAGGGGAGGCGCGCGGCGAGGUCCGGCGACGGCGAGGNNNNNNNNNNUACGUCCGGCUGAGGGCGGACAUGUCCGGCCGGGCGCGGGGAACGAGAUCUCCUUUUUUUAGGGUUUUUUCGGGGGAGGAGGAGAUCCGAAAAAUGGGGGCCUUUAAAUAGGCAUAGAGGGAGCUAGGAGUGUCCAAAUGAGGUGCGGUUUUCGCCCACACGAUCGUGAUCGAACGACCGAGACGAUGGAGCAGAGUCUGGUGGGUUUUGGGCCAAAUUGGAGGGGUGUUGGGCUGCACACACACGAGGCCUUUUCGGUCCCUCGGUUAACCGUUGGAGUAUCAAACGAAGUCCAAAUGACCCGAAACUUGACAGGCGGUCUACCGGUAGUAAACCAAGGCCGCAUGGCAAGUCUCGGCGCAAUCCGGAAAUGUGUAAUCCCCACACAUGAAAGAAAGCUAGAAAUGGCCACCGGAGGAGAACGAAGCGCCGGAAUGCAAAACGGACAACGGGGAAGAUGCUCGAAUGCAUGAGAUGAACAUGUAUGCAAAUGCAAUGCACGUGAUGACAUGAUAUGAGAUGCACGAAAAACAAAAUAACACACGGAGACAAAGACCCGAACCCGAGAAUUAAAUAUAACUUAGUGCCGGAAACGGCAAGAGUUGGAGUACAAUUCGGGAAGGUUACAUAUGGGGCGUUACAACACUCCACCACUACGAAAAGAUCUCGUCCCGAGAUCUAGGACUGAAAGAACUCCGGGUACUCAGAACGGAGGUGAUCCUCGCGUUCCCAGGUAGCUUCAUGGUCGGAAUGGUGUGACCACUUGACUUUGAGAAAUUUGAUUGACUUGUUGCGAGUUUUUCGUUCAGUCUCUUCAACGAUUGCAACUGGGUGCUCACGAUAGGAGAGAUCUUCUUGGAGCUCAAUGUUCUCGAAGUUGACGGUGCGCUCAGGCGUCUUGAAGCACUUACGGAGUUGCGAGACGUGGAACACAUCAUGAACAUUGGCAAAAUUUGCAUGAAGCUCGAGUUGAUAGGCGAGGUCGCCUCUCUUGCUGACGAUCUUGAAAGGCCCGACGUAUCUGGGGGCAAGCUUCGCUUUGAUACCGAAGCGUCGAGUCCCUUUCAUAGGAGAGACGCGGAGGUAGACAUGAUCUCCGAUCUCGAAAGCCAAAUCACGGUGCUUACUAUCAUAGUAGCUCUUCUGGCGGGAUUGGGCUGCUUUGAGGUUAUCACGAAUGACCUUGCACAUUUCUUCUGCCUCUGUGAUCAGGUCAUUACCCAGUAGCUGACGUUCCCCGGUUUCAGACCAGUUGAGAGGUGUACGGCACUUCCUACCAUACAGAAUUUCAAAUGGGGCCUUGCCGGAACUUGCUUGAAACUGUUGUUGUACGAGAAUUCAGCAUAAGGAAGACAAUCCUCCCACUUCAUGCCGAAGGAGAUAACACAAGCCCUGAGCAUAUCUUCAAGAAUCUGGUUGACACGCUUGACUUGACCGCUUGUUUGAGGAUGGAAAGCAGUGCUGAAGCGAAUGCUGGUGCCCAUGGCCAUCUGAAAAGAAUCCCAAAACUUGGAGGUAAAGAUGCUGCCACGGUCUGAAGAUAUCACUUGAGGAAUACCGUGCAGAGAGACAAUUCGAGAGGUGUAGAGCUCCGCCAAUUGAGCUACAGUGAUUGACUCUUUAAUAGGCAGGAAAUGAGCCACUUUGGUGAGCUUGUCGAUGACAACGAAUAUAGCAUCAUUGCCACGCUUGGACUUAGGAAACCCAGUCACGAAGUCCAUUUCAAUGUGGUCAAACUUCCAUUCUGGAAUGGCAAGAGGUUGGAGGAGACCUGCUGGCCUCUGGUGUUCUGCCUUCACUCUUCUGCAGACAUCACAUUCAUUCACGAAUUGAGCGAUCUCGCGCUUCAUUCGAGUCCACCAAUAAGUUUGCUUCAGAUCUUGAUACAUCUUCGUGCUACCAGGGUGGAUGGAGAGGAGAGAGUUGUGAGCCUCAUUCAUGAUCACUUUACGAAGUUCACCUUUGGGCACAACAAUUCGAUCCUCGAAGAAGAGAGUGUCCUUGUCAUCAAGUCGGUAGCACUUGUACUUGGACUGACUCUUUGCAAUACCAAUCUUCACCUUUUUCACCAUAGCAUCAAGAAGCUGGGCUUGGCGAAUCUGGUCUUCCAAGGUAGGAGAAACUUGAAGGUUGGCGAGGAAACCUUGAGGAACAACUUGCAGAUUAAGUUUGCGGAAAGCUUCACAAAGCUCGGGUUGAUAAGGCUUGAGAAUCAGACUGUUGCAAUAUGCUUUUCUGCUCAAAGCGUCAGCAAUCACAUUAGCCUUGCCUGGAGUAUACUCAAUACUCGGAUUGUACUCUUGAAUCAUUUCGACCCAUCGAGUCUGCCUGAGGUUGAGAUUAGGCUGAGUGAAGAUGUACUUGAGACUCUUGUGAUCAGUGAAGAUGUCCACUUUCCUUCCCAAGAGAAGAUGUCUCCAAGUCAACAAAGCGUGCACAACUGCCGCCAACUCGAGAUCAUGAGUGGGGUAGUUCUUCUCAUUAGGCUUCAACUGGCGAGACGUACAAGCAACAACUUUCUUCUCUUGCAUUAGUACAGCACCUAGACCUUGGAGAGAGGCAUCACAAAAGACCUCGUACGGCUUGGCUUCAUCAGGCGGAGUUAGAACUGGAGCAGUGAUCAAUUUCUCUUUCAAAGCGUUGAAAGCAAUAUCACAUUCCGGAGACCAAAUGUACUUGACGUGCUUCUGAAGAAGAUUUGAGAGAGGCUUCGCGAUCUUGGAAAAGUUUUCCACGAAUCUUCGGCAAUAACUUGCAAGACCGAGGAAGCUACGGAGUUGCUUCACAUUCUGGGGAGGUUCCCAAUUAACGAUUGCAGACACCUUCUCAGGAUCCACGGAAAUGCCCUUGGCAGAGAUAAUAGGCCAAGAUAAAGAACCUCAUCAAGCCAAAAUUCACACUUGGAGAACUUGGCGUAGAACUGAUGUUCUCUUAGCUUGUCAAGAACCAAACGCAAGUGCUUGGCAUGAUCUUCCUUGUUCUUCGAGAAAACCAGGAUGUCGUCGAGAUAGACCAAAACGAAGUCGUUGGUGUAGGGGUUGAAGAUGAAGUUCAUCAUGCGAGAGAACGUUGGAGGAGCGUUGGCGAGGCCAAAAGACAUAACAGUGUAUUCAUAUGACCCAUAGCUUGUUCUGAACGCCGUCUUUGGAAUAUCUUGCUCACGAAUGCGAAUUUGGUGAUAACCCAUACGAAGGUCAAGCUUGGAGAAUACUUGGGCACCCUUGAGUUGUUCGAACAGCUCAUUAAUGUUGGGAAGUGGGUAUUUGUUCUUGAUGGUCUUCUUGUUCAAUGGAUGAUAAUCAACACAAAGUCGGUCCGUUCCAUCCUUCUUCUUCACAAAAAGAACACCACAACCCCACGGAGAAGUACUAGGCCGAAUGAGACCCAUUCUUUCUUGAACAUCGAGUUGUUUCUUCAACUCCUUCAACUCUUCGGGGCCGAGCUUGUAGGGACGUUUGCACACAGGUUCCAUACCGGGCUCAAGUUCAAUAACAAAUUCAACCGGCCGGUUUGGAGGCAUGCCUGGGAGUUCUUCUGGGAAGACAUCUUGAUACUCACAAACAACCAGAAUCUGUGAAAUAGCAUCCAAUUCACCCUUUUCAUUGAGAGGGAACAACCGGAUGGUAUUAUCCCGAGCAGCAAAGACAAUGACAUCUUCAGAUGAAUGAGUCAGUUGAAUCUGCCUGGCUGCACAAUCGAGGUGAGCCUUGUGUUUAGAGAGCCAGUCCAUCCCAAGAAUAAGAUCGAUAUCAGAAUCACCAAGAACCGUUGGAGAAGCCAGAAACUUAUGAUCACCCAAAGUGAUUGUAACAUCCGGAAGAAUGGAGUUAGCCUGCAUACGCUUACCAGGAGAAACAACCGCUAAUGGGCUAGGCAGAACUUGUGAAACCAAUUCAUGCCUAGAUGUAAAUGGCCUUGAAAUGAAACAAUGCGAAGCACCCGUGUCAAAAAGAACUUUUGCAGGAAUAUCAUUAACAGGAAGGUUACCCAUGAUCACAUCUAACGAAUCCUCUGCCUGAGCUGCGUUCAUCAAGUUGACCUUGGCAGACUUGGGGUUAUGCUUGACCACAGAUGUACUUGCCGAUCUGAUAGGAGGAGGAGGAGGAAGACGCCUCUGGUUGAAACACUUGUUGGCAUAGUGACCCUUCUGUUGGCACUUGUUGCACGUGACCUCUGAGAGCGGACGGUGAUACGGAGCACUCGAUCUUGAAGCUUGAGACGAAGUCUUGUUCUGAAAGCCUGGGUUGGGUGGGUGGGAUGAACCACUGCCACCUUUGCUCUUCUGCUGAUACGGCUGACGGAACGGAGGAGGAGGAAGCCAAUAUUUCUGCUGCUUGGCCACUUGAGUAGAGGAAGAAGACGUAGUGUCUCUGACGCGCUUCCUGGAAGCAUCACACCUUAGCUGAGCAGCCUCUUGCUUCAGUGCCAUGUUGUAGAACUCAUCGUAUCUCAGGGGCUCGAAGAGUACAAGAGCGAGCUGAAUUUCUUCACGAAGACCACCCCUGAACUGAUAGAUAUGCUCUUCUCAUCAGGAACAUCCUGCUUGGCAAAACGGGCGAGCUUCUGGAACAACUUGUUGUAGUCAUAGAUAGACAAAGAGCCUUGCUUCAGAUUGCGGAAUUCUUCACGUUUGCUUUCAGUCACACUUUGAGGGAUGUGAUGAGCUCGAAAAUCACGACGGAAAUCAUCCCACGUGAUCAAACGUCCACCUCUAGAAUCCCGGUACUGCUGAAACCACUCUGCGGCCUGAUCCUUGAGCUGGAAAGAUGCGAACUUGACGAAAUCUUCAGGUCUGACGUUGCUGCAUUCAAAAUGCUUGCCCAGAUCAACUAACCAAUCAUCAGCAUCGGUAGCCUCAACGCAGUUACUGAACGUCUUUGGACCAUUUGCGAGGAACUGAUUCAGAGUUGCAAAAUGGUUUUGGUUGUUUCCUUGAUUCGCUUGACUGCUUUGAUUCCGCUCUUGGAUGAUUUGCAUGAUCAGCUGUGUAUUUGCAUUAGUAGCGGCCAUCACAGCUUACCAUGCUUCCGGAGGAGGCGGAGGUGGCGGAGGAUCUUGAUUCUGGUUCUGACUGGUGCUCUUAGCGGGAGCCAUCCUGAAGAGGUUGACCACCAUUAGCACACAAAUAGAGAAAUAUUGAAGGUGAAUCCAACGGAAUGAAAAUUGCAACAUAAAGUCUUCACAUUCGAACAAAAUGAACGAAUGCACUUCUCUUGAAGUGGUCACAUAUUCCUAAAUUGCGAAGCCACGAAGAAUCAGGUAGAAGAGGUACAUCAACGAGGGAUGGAAUCAACAUAUGACAUCGAAGCAGAACGAAUACCACAACUCGAUAUAAAACCAAGGGUUGGCUUGUGGAAUAAGCCGGAACAAACACAUGAUAGAAAUUUCGUCCGAAGUUUUCGUGGUAGGACCUACACGGGCUCGACCGUACAGCACCAUCAUGUACAAGGCAGUGCACAUGACAUACGAAGCGCCCCCGAGUCAGCAUAGCCAAGGACUCUUUAAGACACAACGAGGCCACUGUAAAACCGACCGUGAAUAGGCGAACCACUAGACGUCGAACCCCAAUUUCAUAUCACACAUCUGUUGGAAAGAUAUCCUAAGGCUACUUGAAUUCCCACCUAUGAAACUCCCGAAAUUUUCCGGUUAUGCAAUCAGGUGUUGGGGAUACAAGGGAAGCAUAAUAUCUCACCCAAGCUAGUAAUUCCUACAUCCAGCUGCAUCCAUCCUUCAACACAUAACCAAGACACCUUCGGAAACCAUCUAUCUCAACCUUCGAAAAGCAUCCGUUAUACGAGUUAUGGUGAUACUCCCGAACUCCCGCCCCAGUACUGGGUGGCGUCGAGGUUAUCUCACCAACGAACUGCAUAAAGGAGAUUUUCGAUGUCGCGCACAUAUCUCAAGUAUACCAGAAUUGCAACGAUAGAAUUAUGAUGACAACACCUCAGAGCUCAACUCCCCGGGACACUUCCACUAAACCCCUGACAGGAGGCACCAAGACAGUAUUCUCAUCAUAAGCCAUCGGAACAAAACCAAGAUACUCGCGUGAUCCUAAAUUUUUUUUUUGUGAAAUUUGAGAAGAGAAGAGUCAAAACUCUAUGUCAGGAUGCCUUACGAGAGCGAUGAGGAGACUGGGAAGUAAAAAGAAUUCCUAAGCUCUCCGAUAUAUAAUUCCUAAGGACUCAAAACAUUUUUCUAGACACAACUCGGCUACUAAAAACGAUCAAGCAAUGGGGCUCCUAAGGUCGGGGAAGGCUCUGAUUACCAACUUGUAAUGCCCUCGAUGCGGCUAUGUCUCCCACGUGUCGAGGCACGACUUAGAGACAUAGGCGCAUUGAAAGCAAUGUCGCAAGUCGGGAAUCAUUACACAACCCAAGUACAUAUAUAAUAUAAAGGGGAAUAAUAGCAUAGUUGGCUUACACUCGCCACGUCACAUCAAAGUACAUAAAUAAUAUCCAUCAUACAAUCACUCAUGGCCCGACUACGGCGCCAAAAUGGAAAAGACCCCCAACAAGCGACUAGGUCCUGGAUCUAACCCCGAAUAGGCACCCCUACUGAACAUCAGGAAAAGACACAUAGUAACACUGAGAGUCCUCAUCGUACUCCCACUUCAGCUCGAGCGCGCCAUCCGGAGAGGUAUCAUCGGUCCCUGCAUCUGGUGUAAUAGUAAUCUGUGAGCCACAAAGGACUCAGCAAUCUCGCACCCUCACGAUCAAGACUAUUUAAGCUUAAUAGUUAGGAAAGGGGAUAAUGUAAGUGGAGCUGCAGCAAGCGACUAGCAUAUAUGGUGGCUAACUUAUUCGCAAAGUAGAGCGAGAAGAGGAGGCAAAGCACGAGCGAAAACUAUAUAGAGCAGCCCACGCAAACAUAACUCCAACGCCGUGUCCACUUCCCGGACUCCGCCGAGAAGAGGCCAUCACGGCAACACACGCAGUUGAUUCAUUUUAAUUAUUUAAGGUUCAAGUUUUCUACAACCGGACAUUAACAAAUUCCCAUCUGCCCAUAACCGCGGGCACGGCUUUCGAAAGAUCAAUCCCUGCAGGGGGGUCCCAACUUAGCCCAUAACAAGCUCUCACGGUCAACGAAGGAAUAGACCUCCACCCAGGACCCAUCGAUCAGACUCGGUAUCCCGGUACAACAAGAUGAUUCGACAGGUCAAAACUAGUCCAGCAACACCGCCCGAAUGUGCCGACAAAUCCCGAUAGGAUCUGCACAUAUCUCUUUCUCAGGGCACACUCAGAUUGUCCUAGGUACGGGUAGGCCAGCCCAGAGUUGCCCCUGGUGGCCACCGGCAGCUGACAGUUGGACCAACACUCAGAGGAGCACUGGCCCGGGGGGUUAAAAUACGAUGACCCUCAGGCUCCGGAAACCCAAGGGAAAGAAAAGGGUAGGUGGCAAAUGGUAAAACCAAUGUUUGGCAUUGCUGGAAAAGCUUUAAUCAAGGCGAACUAUCAAGGGGUUCCCAUUAUAGCCCAACCGCGUAAGGGACGCAACAAUCCGAGAACAUAACACCGAUAUGACAGAAACUAGGGCGGCAAGAGUGGAACAAAACACUAGGCGAGAGGCCGAGCCUUCCACCCUUUACCAAGUAUAUAGAUGAAUAAAGAUAACAUAGCAAUAUAAUGAUAUCCCAACAAGUAAAUAAAUGUUCCAACAAGGAACAGCUCCAAUCUUCACCUGCAACUAACAACGCUAUAAGAAGGGGCUUGAGCAAAGCGGUAACAUAGCCAAUCAAUGGUUUGCUAGGAAAAAGGUGGGUUAGAGGCUUAAUCAUGGCAAUUGGGAGGCUGACAAGCAAGUGGUAGGCAUCAUAGCAUUGGCAAAGCAAAAGAGCGAGCAAACUAGCAUAGCAAAGAUAGUAGUGAUUUCAAGGGUGUGAUCAUCUUGCCUGCACAGUUGUCAGAAUUGACUGGAUCCUCAAAAGCAAACUCAACGGGAUCCUCGUUAGCGAACUCGUCUCCCGGCUCUACCCAACAACACAAACAAGCAACAAGGAUACAAUCAACCACGUGCAAGGGCAACCAACAAGAUGCAAAGAUGAUAUGCUAUGCGGGAUGCGAUGCGCGAUGCAAAAUGCAAGACGUGACAGGAAAUGCAUUAACCUGGCCUCAACUUGGAAAACCAAGUAUGCCACUGGAUAGAGGGGAAGAAAUCCCCUGAAAACGAUAU
rnacentral:lncRNA from 1 species